GGUGGCUCAGUGGUAGAGUGCUUGCCUUGCAUGCAUGAGGUCCUGGGUUCGAUUCCUUAGUACCA
rnacentral:tRNA from 1 species